CUUGUGGUCUCAGAGCUAUGGCAGCCCUAACACCCCAAGGAACAGAGCCCUGGCGGUCCCACGGCCAUGCAGCCUGGCAACCCUAGCAGCCCUGGGGAGCUGCCAACACCCUUAGCUACCUGAGUUUAACCCUUUAGUUACCAAGUACUGGCCAGCACUCCUCCUAUCCAUUACAUACUCCCCCAAAUCACAGGUGGUGCUGGACAAGGCUGGCCCACACUAGCUGUGAUUUCUUCUUGGAGGUCUAGAAUAAAAUAUAGUUAAUAAUAUAUAUGUACAUACUACUCUCAAUACUGAGUAUACAAAGAACUAAACAAUACUCCCACAUGCAUGGAACACAAUGACUUAGAUAUAGGGAGAGUAUUAAUUGGCUUAGUCUGGAAAACUUUCACAAGAGUGCAUCAGCCACUUUGUUACAACACAUCUCAGGAGCUCCUGUGUCAAAGUCUUGGAGAGCCAAACUCUACAGAAGGAAUUUCUUAUUAGUCUCUUUGACUUUGUGAAACCACUGAAGAGCAGAAUGGUCAGACAAGUGUUGUCCCCAAAUAUAUGGUCAUAGAGGUUAGAGGAUAUACAAUGGUGUAGCACUCCUUCUUGGAGAUAGACCAGUGGCUUUCCCUCUGUGUUUUUUACUGAUGAACACAACAGGGUGGAAUUGUUGAUUUGCCCUGUUUGCAUCAAAACUGCCCCCAUACCACGCUCUGAUGUGUCUGUAGUGCCGAAGAAAAGUUUGUCAUAGUCUGGGGCCCUUAGGACAGAAUCAGACAUAAGAACAGCCUUAAGCGGCUUAUAAGUUUCCUGACACUUCUCAGUCCACUUAACCUCAUUUGGUUACUUUUUUUCUGGUCAGGUUUGUCAGUGGUGCGGAGAUCUGACUAGUGCGAUACAAAUCCCCUGUAAUAUCCUGCCAAGCCUAAGAAGGAUUGGACCUGUUUUUUUGACUUAGGGACAGGCCAGUUUUGGAUAGCCACUACUUCAACCUGUACAGAGUUGAUAGUCCUUUGACCCACCUGAUGUCCCAGACUGUGCCAGGAUGCAUGUAGUGAAUGAAGCAGGGGAAAGUAAGAAAUAAAAGAAUGGCUUCCUGAUUAAGGCAGGUAUGAGAAGGUGCCAGUGAUUUUAGUUGGUAAUAAAGUGGACCUGGAGAGUGAGAGAGAAGUAUCUUCGAAUGAAGGCAGAGCUCUGGCUGAAGAAUGGGGCUGUCCUUUUAUGGAGACUUCUGCUAAAAGUAAAACAAUGGUGGAUGAGCUCUUCGCAGAAAUCGUUAGACAAAUGAACUAUGCAGCUCAGCCAGACAAAGAUGAUCCAUGCUGUUCUGCAUGUAAUAUUCAAUAGCAUUAAAAAUGACCUACCUGGACCUAAUUUACAGAAUUUUUGUAAGGUGGUAAAACUGUCUGCCUCAUUUUCUGGUUUGUGGGUCACUUGGAAUAAUUCAUAAGUAACAACAUUAAAUCAGAGCUGAGCAUUGAAAGUGAAUCAAUAUCUCUGAACAUAAUAGGGUUAAACAACAACUUCUCACCCAGUACCCCUUAGUGCACCUACAACUUCAUGUCCUAAUCAGUUGAUCUACAGGAUGAUCUCAGUUGAACUAUAUGUGUUUGCAUUAUGUCAGCAACAGCUGUUUCAUAAAUUAGAAGAUUCCUGGUGAUGAAAAUUGAAAGCGAUAGAGAGAAGACCUGCAAAGAUCACAUGCAACUAGCAUAGUCUAUACUGAUAAACACAAAAGGAGGGGAAAGUCUUUCAGUGACGAUAUUCAGGAGUAGUACUUUUGCUUGAGGCCAAGUUUACACAAACAAGUAUCCUAUUUUCAUCUGAACUUCUGACAGUUUUACAGGCAAAUAUGAUCUACAAGGCCUAUAUAGUUAUUUUUCAAAAUUGAUGCAAUUUCUACACUUUAUCCCACCUUGUGAAAUAGAAAGCACUGCAUCAGUACUUUAAAGAAGAGAGAGACGAUCUGAAAAACCAAUGGCUAGUGAAAAAACAUAAUAUGGCAUUGGAAUGUUUAAAUCUUCCACUUUGCUGCUCAAGAAUGGAGGAUCACUUCAGGUUUCGGUCAGACAAAAAGCCAAACAAACCCUCUGUUUACAAAGCAGGAAACAUCUUUAUCACUUUACUGAACCAGGAGGAAGCAACUGUGAUGAAAAAAAUCGUUUAGCCUUACUAACAAGGAACACUUUAAUAGAUUAACUAGUACCAUCUUGUAAGGAAAACAAAGCCAUGUUACAUCCAGAUGUUCCCUUUUGCAGAAACCUCAUGGGACAGUAUGAACAUCCUGCAUUUUUAAGUUUGCUAAAGAAGACAAUUUCUUUCUUGCCUUUAAGGGCUAAAGGGUGGGGUUUUUUUUUGUUUUUUGUUUUUGUUUUGGGUAUUUUUUGGUGUGAUCCCUAACUAACCUUUGGAAAUCAAGUUUGCUAUUUCAUAGCUUUAAUGUUGGCAACUUUGUUUGAAUAACCAUAUGAAAUCAUUUUGGCUCACAGGAGGAAUAUAGGUUAUGGUUAUCCUGUAAGGGUGAGAGGAAACAGUUUUUGUGUAAUUACUUGACAUGCUAUUCAAAGAUUGCCCUGAUUAUUGGAGUAUCAAAUAGUGGAAGCAAAUAUUUUGUUUUGCAAAGGUGCUCGAGCUCUGGCGUUCUAGUUUUCUAGCUGUGAAGUAUUUAUCAUUUGCAUGACUAAUGGCACAGAAUUAUCUAUUCUGAAGUCUUACAAUCAAGUAUAGAAAAGUUUUAAAUCAAAAUGUCUAAGUUUUAUUUGUUGGAGCAAUUGUCUUGAGCUGGACCUUUAUAGUUAAAAUUUGGUCAUCAAAAUGCAAUAUCACUGAGCCUGUGGUCUAAAUACCGCCAUGCAUUAUAUUAGUUUCUCAGUCUUGUGCAGUAACAGUGUAGUUCCUUGUGUGUAAAUGAGUGAAAAUGGGUGCAUGUGUUGGGUGUGUGUAUCCCUCAGAAAUGCUGUAAUUGGAGUUUGGUUCUGACAGAUUUGCCUCCAACAGCAGAACUGCUUUAAAAAUGCUCUUAAUCUCUGAAACGAGAAACUCAAGUAUAAAACAGCUUCACAAAAUUUCUUAUAGUAACAAUUUUAAUCUUGUUCAGUGGGUGACAGCUAAAGGAGAUAUUAGUAAUGGAAGAGAACUAGCCACCACUGCCCUUAGUCCUUUUAAAGGAAACAAAGAUGUUCAGUGUAAUAAAUGUUGAGUCCCUACUAUUCAGAUUUUUUUGAAUCCUUGAAAUGUAGAUCUUUCCUUCUAGCUAAUUUCUACAAAAUCUGAUGUGUUUGCACCUUCUCCCACCUAAUUUUAACCAUGUGUCUGCUUAAUCAAAUUUUGAAACUUGAAUCAGUAGUAUCACCCUAUAAUAGCUAUAUGGAAGAAGGAUCUAAUGAAACUGUACAAUUCGUUAAUAAAAUAGGCAGCUUGUCCAUUUUUGAGACCCACUGCCUGAGCAUUCAGAAACAUCAAAUUUGAUACCAAAUUAUUGUUUGGCUUGCAUGUUGAGCAAUACUAUGCAUAAAAUGCUAAGAUCUUCUAUAAAAAUUGCUGUGCAACCAGUAAAUGGUAUAAAUAAUAUGUAUGAAAGGCUUACAUUGAAGUGUGUAAUGUAAAACAGAUUAAUUCUUAAUUUAGGAAAAUUGCACAAGUAAAAUUCUAAACAGAAAACUUUAGUUAAAAAAAGAUACUUCUGAGACAUAAAUGCAACAUGGAAAGGAAAAAUGUAGUGACUAAGCAACACAUAUACCAUCACACAACAUUGCGCGGGGCAGGGCAGAGGAAGCUAAAAAUGCUCUUUUUAUUGUAUAAUUCUGAGGAGGAAGUUGUGCACCAUUUGCAUUUCCACUGAUGUGAAUAUAGUGGAGCUUGAAUCAAUGACAGUUGCGUUUGGCUAAGAUAUUUUUGAAAGCAUAAGGAUAGCAAGAGGAUAGUAAAGUGAGCCACAUCCAAGAUAGAUGGCCACCUGGAGAAAGUCAGUGGUCUUGGGUCACCUCUUACUUUGUACCCUGAUCAGACUACCAAUUAUAGUAUGUGAACAUUUUUUAUAACAUGCCUUAAAAUAUUAUGGUUUGAUCCAAAGACCCAUGUUUUCUUUAGCUGUUCUUGUAGAGUUUUGUACUUUUCUACAAAGACAGCAUUAAGUUUUAUUGGUCUUUUUUUUUUUUUUAGUGUUGCAACUUUAAUUUUUUUCAGAUGUGAUAGUAGUAGUAACUGUUUUCUCCUGCUUUUUAAAAGUAGGCAGAACAAAUUAAACCAGCAUCAGAUUAAAAGUAUUACACCUGGGGUUUUUUAUUAGAGCAUCAAAGACAGCUUUUGGUGACUUUCUGUUGUGGGUUGGCCAACAAGUAACUAGCCUCUCUAACCCCAGUGCUACAGUUGCCAUCACUUUUCUGUGGGAAAACUACUGGCAUUUGCUUUCCUGUAUGAAGAAUGUUGCCUAAAGAUGUCAGCCAUUUGAUUGGGGGUGGGUUAUGCAUGUUUGGUUUUUUUUUUUUUUUUUUACCAGUGUAGAAUCAAAGCACUGGUGAGGUUUUAAUGGUGCGCAACAAAGCAUAUGUUUGACAACAGCAGGCGGCUUUUAUCUGCAUUGUUGUGCAUCAGGUCUCAAGAAUGAUUGCAGUGGGUUUUGAACCAGGUUUAACGGUAUUGAUUUGGGGUUUCCCAGAGGUGAAUAAGUAUAUUUCACAGUUAAUUGAGCUCUAGUACAACUGGCAACCUAAAGAUGGAGCAACAAUUUAUUGUUUUGUAACAAUGUCAAUUGUUAAACCUUGAUGUUUCAAAUAAAACAAGAAUUGUACAUAGAACUCGAUGCAAACUCAGCAGUUGUAUUUGGAGUUAAAUUAUUUUAACAAAUAAAUUUAUUUAAUGAAACUUG